AUGAAGUUGACGGCAUCGAGAUCUGGUGACCACGGGGAAGACCCCCCGGCCACAUGCCACAAAGACUCGGUCUCGUCGCUUGCGGCGACCCGCUUCAUCGGCUCAAAAAGCAUCUUUGAAUGCGGUGGUGCUCUCCCAGAUCUGGGUAUGGCGGUUGUUCUCAUCUUUUUCCGACGUUGUCAUGGUAGCGGUGGAGGAGUUUGUGGACUAUGUUUCGGCGAGGCACGAGUUUCCGCAAGGGUGGAAUAAUAGUUUUACCUCUUCUGGAAUUCUUUGUGCACAGUUGCUUGA
rnacentral:rRNA from 1 species